UUAAGCAACGUAGGGUAAAAUAUGUAUUUUAUUGUGUCUAACCGCUGCUGCCUCUUAAAUUUCGUACUCUUGACUGAUUUUGCGCGCCUCUUUACUACACCUCAGCGUCUCACUCUUCACCGGCCACUCGCACAAUUUCAACAAGCAACUUUUUCGCUGGAGUAAAACUUACUAGCUAAUUUAGGUACUGUUACUUUUAGUUGCUGUUUUGUAUUGUUUCGUUUUAGUUAGUCUGCAGCUACUUGAAUUUCGUGUGAGCUUAUGAAUAAAGCAGCAGCAGUAGCAGUGGCAGCUCUAACAUACAACAACAACUAUUACAUACAAUAUGAACGUCAAAUUAACUAAUGAAAGAAAUAAUAUUUUUCGCCAUUUCUUUCACUUACUUCAUGUAGUGUCUGCCUGCCUAUCGCUUUGGAUUCACCCAUUUUGGAGUAACUAACGCUUUUUUACUGCUCACUCGUUGCUUUAGUUUGCGGUACUGAUAUUGUUGUUGUUUUUAUUUCUAUUUUUGUUUUUUGAGUUAUUAGACCUGCAUUCACAAUCGCAUGAUGAAGCAUAUUUCUGCGCCAGUUAACGGUUUCUGAACUUUUUUUUGGAUUUCUUUUAUAUUUUUCUUAUGGUUAUUGUAGAAUUUUCGUAAAAUCUCUUUAUUUAUUAGAAAACAAGUGAUCUUUAAAAGAAUUUAUUGAAUGAAAAAUGGACAAGUUACUUUAACUCUUAAACGUCUUUAACGGUGCAAUCGUUUUGAGCUGGUAAUGCAUUUUCGUGCAGCAUUUUGUGGGAUUCUGAAUUAUUUGUGACUGAGCAUUGAAGCUAAACUGUGAAGUCUUGUUAUGAGAAUCUGAUAGUAAAUAUACGUACAUAUGUAUGUGGGUAACAAGUUUACACUUUCAAA